AGAAAAUGGGAAUUUAGUUUAUUGAAUCGAAAUUGAACAAUGGCACGGUGAAAAAAGCGGAGCCUAAUUCCUUGGAUCCUCUUCCAACUGGGAGAUUCAAUUGAAGCAAUGGUGGAAGAUCACCAUCAUCAUCAUCAUCAUUUACCUGUUCAUGUUCCUUCGAAUCCCUCAAUGGUUGUAAUCCGAAACGCCUUUGAUUACGACGCCACGGGUGACUGCUCCGUCUUCCCACCUAUCAACCAUGAAAACCUCCCUCAAUCACCGCCUUCAGGAGAAAGAUGAGAGGAUUUCCCAACUCUUGGACCAGAUUGGACAAAUGAAUGAAUUACUUAUAGCUCGUUACAAAGCUUUGGCUGCAAAAGGGACUGAAUGAUUAAGACCUGUGAUAUGGUAGCUAUUGAAUUUAGCAGAGUGAUUGAACAUCCAUGCCCAGAAGUGGCAUCUCAAGCCUAAUCAGAGAGAAUAGCCAUUGAAUGAACUGCCGGAUUUUGGGUUAUAUCUGUGAUGCAUGGUGGUCCGCCCGGCCCAAUGAAUAUGCCGCAGUCUGCCAGAUUCGUGAAUGACUAGCUCAGUUGGGAACCACGGAAUUUAUCAGGAAAGCUAUAAAACACUCUUAACAGUAGUAAAAUACUCAUGGUUAGUGAGUUGUGUUUUCAAGCCCUUGAUGUUAAUGACUCCAGCAUCCUUGGCUUAGCUUAUGGAAAGUCCCAAACGAAAACUUUGUACCUUUAACAGCCCUGUAGAAUAUUAUUCUUUUUUCUUUUUCUUUUUCUUUUGACAAACAACUCACACACAUGACACACCCAAGCAUAUUCUACUAAAGGGUUCUUCACCAUUGUCUCAACUGAGACUUGAACCUGGAUAUCUGGUUUAUGAGGCUCAUGGGUUGUCCACUAGCCUCAGAGCCUCACCACAAAAGCUUCUGUGAAUUGUAGCCGGACGUAGAUAUUUUACUGUGAUUCAACUCAAAAAAAUCAGAUCCAGUUAAUUAAUGGAGACUUAUUCAGUUAUUUGA